GCGCGCGCGCGCGUGCGCGCGCGAGACUCCACCUGCCUGUCGCGGCCCGCGGGCAGCGCUUCGGGGCUGCUGCGCGGCGGCCUUGACCACCUUGGUAUAGCAGAGGAGGAAACGGAAGCUCAGACAGCCCGCUGGGCCGCUCCGAGCUCCGGGCUGGCUGCCGCGCGCUCCCGGUCUGCUGUUCCGCGGAGGGCACAACAAAGGGCCCCCCGGGCAGCCCGCUCAGAGACCGACUACUGAAACCCUCGGGCCAGGUUCUCGUUUUUGCUUUGUUUGGUUUUGGUUUUCUGGCGUCCUUAAACUCUGAGAUUUCUCCCGAUUCCGGUUCGAGACCUCCCGGGUUAAGUAAGGUGAAAGCAGCGGCUGAAGCAGGUGGCAGUGCGUCUCUUGAGGGCAGCCACUGAUUGUAUUGCAGGAAAACCUUGGCUGAAUAAAAUUUCCCUCCCAAUUAAUUACAGGCCUGGCUUCUAUAACCCUGAAACACUUUGUUCGAAACCUGUGGGUUUCGACCCCUUUGGGUCCAAGGACCCCUUCAGAGGGGUUGCCAUAUCAGAUAUGCUGCAUAUCAGAAUAGCAGUAGCAAAAUUAGUUAUGAAGUAACAUUGAAAAUAACUUUAUGGGCGGGGUGGUGGUGGUGGUGCCCGCCUUUAAUCCCAGCCCUCGGGAGGCAGAGGCAGGCGGAUCUCUGUAAAAUCGAGCCCAGCCUGGUCUACUAGAGCUAGAUCCAGGACAGCCUCCAAAACCACAGAGAAACCCUGUCUUGAAAAACAAAACAAAACAAAAACAAAAACAAAAAAGAGGGCCCUCGUGGCCUGUUCCUGAGGUCACUUCAUAUAGCUUGUGCCACACUGAGGCUGCACAGACAGAGACUGGGAAACACUGCAGUCAGUUCCAGUUGACCCACAAAGAAGCAUGAAUGUAGCCAGGAUUUAAGAAAU
rnacentral:lncRNA from 1 species